CUCCAGACUCCUACGGGAGGCAGCAGUGGGGAAUAUUGCACAAUGGGGGAAACCCUGAUGCAGCGACGCCGCGUGAGCGAUGAAGUAUUUCGGUAUGUAAAGCUCUAUCAGCAGGGAAGAAAAUGACGGUACCUGACUAAGAAGCCCCGGCUAACUACGUGCCAGCAGCCGCGGUAAUACGUAGGGGGCAAGCGUUAUCCGGAUUUACUGGGUGUAAAGGGAGCGUAGACGGCAAUGCAAGCCAGAUGUGAAAGCCCGGGGCUCAACCCCGGGACUGCAUUUGGAACUGUGUAGCUGGAGUGUCGGAGAGGCAGGCGGAAUUCCUAGUGUAGCGGUGAAAUGCGUAGAUAUUAGGAGGAACACCAGUGGCGAAGGCGGCCUGCUGGACGAUGACUGACGUUGAGGCUCGAAAGCGUGGGGAGCAAACAGGAUUAGAUACCCCUGUA
rnacentral:rRNA from 1 species